GCCGGAGUGGCGGAAUUGGCAGACGCACAGGACUUAAAAUCCUGCGAUCCCUAAAGAUCGUACCGGUUCGACCCCGGUCUCCGGCACCA
rnacentral:tRNA from 1 species